rnacentral:rRNA from 1 species
UACAGAGGGUGCGAGCGUUAAUCGGAAUUACUGGGCGUAAAGCGCGCGUAGGCGGCUUUGCAAGUCGGGUGUGAAAUCCCCAGGCUUAACCUGGGAACUGCAUUCGAGACUGCAUUGCUAGAGUAUGGGAGAGGGAAGUGGAAUUUCCGGUGUAGCGGUGAAAUGCGUAGAUAUCGGAAGGAACAUCAGUGGCGAAAGCGACUUCCUGGGCCAAUACUGACGCUCAUGUGCGAAAGCGUGGGGAGCAAACAGG